GACGAACGCUGGCGGCGUGCUUAACACAUGCAAGUCGAACGGAAAGGCCUCUUUCGGGGGGUACUCGAGUGGCGAACGGGUGAGUAACACGUGAGUAACCUGCCCUUGACUUUGGGAUAACUUCAGGAAACUGGGGCUAAUACCGGAUAUGAGCUCCUGCUGCAUGGUGGGGGUUGGAAAGUUUCGGCGGUUGGGGAUGGACUCGCGGCUUAUCAGCUUGUUGGUGGGGUAGUGGCUUACCAAGGCUUUGACGGGUAGCCGGCCUGAGAGGGUGACCGGCCACAUUGGGACUGAGAUACGGCCCAGACUCCUACGGGAGGCAGCAGUGGGGAAUAUUGCACAAUGGGUGGAAGCCUGAUGCAGCAACGCCGUGUGCGGGAUGACGGCCUUCGGGUUGGAAACCGCUUUCGCUCAUGACGAAGCUUUGUGUGACGGUAGUGGGUAAAGAAGCACCGGCUAACUACGUG
rnacentral:rRNA from 1 species